UACGAAGGGGGCUAGCGUUGCUCGGAAUCACUGGGCGUAAAGCGCGUGUAGGCGGCCCGAUAAGUCCGCUGUGAAAGUCCAGGGCUCAACCCUGGGAUGCCGGUGGAUACUGUCGGGCUCGAGUCCGGAAGAGGCGAGUGGAAUUCCUGGUGUAGCGGUGAAAUGCGCAGAUAUCAGGAGGAACACCAAUGGCGAAGGCAGCUCGCUGGGACGUGACUGACGCUGAGACGCGAAAGCGUGGGGAGCAAACAGG
rnacentral:rRNA from 1 species